GCAGUUGGCAAGGUUAGAUAUUAUAAGGACGUUUUUGUAGAAAUUCUGUAAUGAAGUUACUUUUGCUAUCUGCUUGUUCAGUGAAAGAGAGACAGAGGAAAAAAUUAUUAUAACUGGAGAGGAUAACCUAGCGACAGGCCUGGCAUGGCACUCAAGGUGAGAUGGUGAAGGAUGAAAGAAUGGGAAAGAAGAGACAUGAAAAACUAAGCACAAACACAGAAACGUUAGCAGAUACAGGUGCGCAGUAUGCAUUGACGCGAAUGUUACUUACAGAGAUUAAUUCAAGCCUGUAUUUUGCAGAAACAGCAGCAGGACGAGAUGGAGGAAGAAAUAAAGAAAGGAGGAAUGGAUGUUACCAAGAAAAAUGUCUGGCUGGCUACACAACGCCGAUGGCUGGAAAAAGGAAAAAGAAGGAGUCUUCGUGCACCAGACGCUACUACGAGCAACCCUCUGCACCACGUGCGGAAAGGAAUUUCAACCGACCAUCUCACAUCACCUCGUCGAAAUGAGGCGUGACUUCGCCUGCUAUUGCUGGCGUCCCGCGCCUCGUGCAGAAAGAACUUUUUCUCACCCGACCUUCUUCCACCAGGCCUCGUCGAAAUGAAACGUGACUUCCUUAUUCGCCAUGAUC